AAAAGUUACAAGGACAUGAAAAUAAAAGAUAAUAUUUGGGCAAAAAUUGCAAAGGAAAUGGUAAAAUCCGGGUAUAAUAGAACAGGUGAAGAGUGCAAAAAGAGAUGGUCUAACCUACGAGACUACUAUGUUAGAAAGAAAAAAGUGAAUUCUACCGGAAGUGCAGCCAGUCAGGGAAAUGAAAAGUUUCAUCAUAUGAAAUUUUUGGAUAGCACAGCGUUCGUACAUCGAAUGUAAGUAGCACAAAAUCCAGUGUAUCUGCUGCCGCCGUCGCUGAUGGAGAAGUAAGUGAUGACAAUGAGCAUGAAGGAAAUGGUUCUGAUAUAGAAAGUCAAAAUGAAGAAACGGAAAAUCAAAGUAUAAUAGAAGAAUUACUCAUAGAAGUAACACCCAUGGAGGAAAACAAAGAAAUAAACGAGACACAAGAAAUUACAGCAACACCAACUCAAGUCAAUAAAGUGGGCAAAGCUGAUCUGAUCCAAAUCGAAAAAAUAGCCGGCACAAAAAGAGUAACACAAACCCAAACACGUGGGAGAAUAGAUGCAAAGAAGGCCAGAACACAAUUAUUCCAAGAUAUUCACAAAGGAAGAUCCGAACGAAUGACAUUACUUCGCGAUAUAGCCCCAUAUUCACAGAGCCACUACCUCAGGGCCUCAAUCAACUGAAGAUCCGAUUGAUCUGUUUUUCAAAUCAUUGGCAGCAACAGCUAAAACACUAUCGCCGGGGUAUUUGGCAGAAGCCAAACGAAAGAUCUUCCUUGAUAUGGCCGAAAUUGAGGGGAAAAAUAUCGAAGAAAAAUAUCCACCAUCAAACCUUUCCCCUUUGCAGACAGUGUACGUAUCAACGCCAAGCCCAUCCCCUUCCCUAUCAUCACACUCUGACGAUUCUUCCUCGGUUUGUCAUCUCAUAAGACAAAGAGAAUAUAAUAUAGCUUAUAGACAUCCCGGCGGUCCCGGCCUUAAUCCCGUCAGCGGCGUCGGUCCCGGCUCUACUUACAACACCGAUUCUAAUAAUCAGAAACAACUGAUGUCACCAGACGGUACAGUACAGAGCUACUUAACUGAUUUUACGCCAUUAUAAAUAUGUUGUUUAAUAAGAUAAGUACGUU